rnacentral:rRNA from 1 species
GACGAACGCUGGCGGCGUGCUUAACACAUGCAAGUCGAACGAUGAAAGUGGAGCUUGCUCCGCUGGAUUAGUGGCGAACGGGUGAGUAACACGUGGGCAACCCGCCCCAGACUCUGGGAUAACUCCUCGAAAGAGGUGCUAAUACCGGAUACGAACUCCUUGGGCAUCCUUGGAGUUGGAAAGUUUUUCGGUCUGGGAUGGGCCCGCGGCCUAUCAGCUUGUUGGUGGGGUAGUGGCCCACCAAGGCGACGACGGGUAGCCGGCCUGAGAGGGCGACCGGCCACACUGGGACUGAGACACGGCCCAGACUCCUACGGGAGGCAGCAGUGGGGAAUAUUGCGCAAUGGGCGAAAGCCUGACUCAGCGACGCCGCGUGAGGGAUGACGGCCUUCGGGUUGUAAACCUCUUUCAGCAGGGAAGAAGCGAAAGUGACGGUACCUGCAGAAGAAGCACCGGCUAACUACGUGCCAGCCGCCGCAGUAA